rnacentral:rRNA from 1 species
UACGGAGGGUGCAAGCGUUAUCCGGAUUCACUGGGUUUAAAGGGUGUGUAGGCGGGUAUUUAAGUCAGUGGUGAAAUCUCCGGGCUCAACCCGGAAACUGCCAUUGAUACUAUUUAUCUUGAAUUCUGUUGAGGUGGGCGGAAUAUAUCAUGUAGCGGUGAAAUGCUUAGAUAUGAUAUAGAACACCGAUUGCGAAGGCAGCUUACUAAACAGACAUUGACGCUGAGGCACGAAAGCGUGGGGAUCAAACAGG